UCUGCCCACUGAUAUAAUAUUAAAGGGCUGCAGUAUUUUGAGNGUACAAAGGUAGCAUAAUCAUUAGUCUUUUAAUUGAAGACUUGUAUGAAUGAUUGGAUGAAAUAUAAACUGUCUCUAAUAUUAUUAGUUAGAAUUUAAUUUUUUUAUUAAAAAGUAAAAAUAAAUUUAAAAGACGAGAAGACCCUAUAGAGUUUUAUAAUUAAUUUAAUUGAAAUUAUUUAUAAAGAUAAUUUUAAAUUAAUAAAUUAAAAUUAAGUUAAUUAUUUUGUUGGGGUGAUAAAAAAAUAAAAAUAACUUUUUUUAAUAAAUAUAUAUAUAUAUAUAUAUAUAUAUAUAUAUAUAUAUUGUAAACAAAAAUAAAUGAUUUUUUGAUCCAGAAUUUUUGAUUAUAAGAAAAAAUUACCUUAGGGAUAACAGCGUAAUUUUUUUUUUUAGUUCAAAUAAGAAAAAGAGUUUGCGACCUCGAUGUUGGAUUAAGGAAAAAUUUAAAUGCAAAAGUUUAAAAUUUUG
rnacentral:rRNA from 1 species